GAUGAACGCUCGCGGCGGGCCUAAUACAUGCAAGUCGAACGGGAAAGGUGGCAACACCUUGAGAGUGGCGUACGGGUGCGUAACGCGUAUACAACCUGCCUGUUACACGGGGAUAGCCUUGCGAAAGCGAGAUUAAUACCCGAUGGUACUAUUGAGCGGCAUCGCUUGGUAGUUAAAGCUGAGGCGGUAACAGAGGGGUAUGCGUCCCAUUAGCUAGUUGGUAGUGUAACGGACUACCAAGGCGACGAUGGGUAGGGGUUCUGAGAGGAUGAUCCCCCACACUGGUACUGAGAUACGGACCAGACUCCUACGGGAGGCAGCAGUAGGGAAUAUUGGGCAAUGGACGGAAGUCUGACCCAGCCACGCCGCGUGCAGGAAGAAGGUCCUCUGGAUUGUAAACUGCUUUUCUUGGGGAAGAAAACCCUUCUGCGGAAGGAAUUGACGGUACUCAAGGAAUAAGCAUCGGCUAACUCCGUG
rnacentral:rRNA from 1 species